CAACGAAGGCCUCCAGCGCACGGUACCACGCGAACAGCGAGGGCGCAGCGCACCACGCGAGAGGGAAGAGUGCGCCACAGCGAGCGAACCCCUUUCUGGCAGCGAGAGCGGACAGAGGUAGCUGCAGAAAUAUCUCCCUCGUCACCCCCUUUCUCUUCCUCGUCUCUUCCCAUCCCGCUCCUCUCCUCCAUGCCGCCGCCGCUGCUUCCCCCCUCCCUCUCGGCCGCCUGUCUCCCCCGCCGGCUGGCGCAGCUCCUCGCGUCGCCUUCCUCUCCUCUUCAUGCGCGGCGGCGUCUCGUCAUCAACAGCCACCGCCCAUCCCCAGCCCCCACCCUAGCCUCCCCAAUCCCCUCCUCCCGCAUGAACCCUAGCAGAGAGAGAAGAUGAGAGGGAGAGAGAGAAGGAAGGAGAGGGGAGGAGGAAGAAAGAGAGAGGAAAGAGGGGAGGGAGGUGUGGCGGCCAGUGUCGGCCUGCGCCGGCGAGGUCGGGCGCGACCUGGCGGUUGGCGGCGGCUCGAUCCGUUCCUGGAUCUGCGAGGAGGCUGGGGCUCGGGCGCGAUGCACGGGAGGCUGCACCCCGCCUCCAUCUCCACGCGUGCAGCGGCGACCCCGGGAGGAGCUCGAGCCGCAACGGUGGUCCACGGCGCCGGCGUCGGCAGGAGGAGUGUGGGCCGUAGAGACGGCCGGCUCCGUCCGGCUUUCGCGCUGCCGUCCAUCCACCCGAGCGAUCAGUCCGCGCGUCCUCGCCUCCGUCCUCUCACGCACGCCCUCGUGUCUGGAUAUUUGCUUUCAGUCACGGAUUCUUGAGGAAAACAGGAAAACAGGUAAUAUAUAUGAUUAGUGUUUGGGUGACCGUUGAUUCCUACACCGAGUUGUGUUGCUGUACAAAUAGCCUCUCUUUUUGGUGGUGACACGGUGUCCCUUCCAGGUUCAGCAGCAGGCAAUGCUCAAGACAGAGUUGGGUGCACAUCAUAUAUAUACAUAUGUUGUCGCAUCUUAAUAAACAGAGAUGAGCAGAAGCAGAGAUGAGAUAUCUAUCCGACUGUCAUCCUUCCCAGACUUGGGUCUGUCAUCUCUGUCAGCAUCCGCUUCCGCUUCCUUAGUUGGUUGUCGCUUCUUUGUAACACCAUUUGAAUAAAUAAUAAAUAAGCCUGAGUUUGGAUUAAUCUUGCGUAGCCCAUUGGAUUGAUUGGAUAUCAGAAGAUACGUGUAUACUUAGCCAAGACAUUAUAUGCUGACUGAGUUCCCUAAGCAGGGAUUUUCAGUCACACUUUCUAUAGCCAUGUUCACGAGUUGAUUCAGUAUAGCUCAUGAGUUGAUUCAGUAUUAUUAUUGCUUUGCAAUACAGUUGAUUCAGUACUAAUGUAUAUACUGUAUACGAAUGCACAUCCCAUAAUUGUUGUGGUAGACUGUCGUCUGCAGUCCAUUUAUAUGGUCUUUCUCCAGAAACUAUAGGUGUGUUCUCUAUACUGUUCCAGUGUACUAAAUCUGAACAUAUAUCCUUCAAAUAAUCUACUAUUUCAUUAGGCACAAAUUGGUACAGAUAAACCACACAUCUCUGAAGACAAACCUUUGUUUUCCAUAUAUCCCAUUAAGAAAAUAAAUGUCACUUCAGAUGUAGUGAAAAGAAGUUUAGUUGCCGCCUCAGCUCCUUACUGGCGACUGGUGUGAAUCAUCUCAGUUUUUUAAUGUCACUGUUUAUCUUAUUUAGUCUUGAGAAUUGUUGUGUGUGUUCUUCUCUAGGUUGUGCAAGCCAAGUGGUUGAUGCAUUGCUUCUUUGUACAGUUUUUGUGGAUGUUUUGGUCUGUCUAUACCAUAUUAAGCAAAUAUGAGUACUUUUAGCUGUAGUGGAAAACAAGAAUUUAACAGAGUUUUUGCCAAAUUGACAUUUCUCUGCUGAAAUUAUUCCUGAAUGUAAUGAUAGAAGUUUUUUCCCCCAUUUCUAUAUUGUCUCGAAUGUUUGGAAAAUUGUAUCACUGCAAUGCCUUCUUCGUAUCUGUGGAAUUGGAGAAAAAUGCAUACAUGUUAUUGAUGCCUUAGCAAGAAGGCUCGCCGGCUGGGAGAUGGCGAGCGCCAGUGAGCACUAUGCACGGUGUAGCAAGCUGGACAAGAGCGUGAGCGACAGUCAAGACAUGAGCUAUCCAGUGGUCAAACUGGGCUAUAUUUCUUUCAUUGGGGCGAGGGUGAUUCCAGCAGAUUUUGCUUGGCGUACUCGCCUUUUUUCUUGAAGUUGGGCGUCGGUCGUCUCUGCGGCAAGGUAAGCUUAUCCCAUUUACUUUGUUCAACCCAGAGUCAAGAUUCAUAUCCCCUUCACUGUCAUUUCAUUUGUGAGCAUUUAUUCCAUUGAUCUAUGUCGUCGGCACCCUGACGAUUUAGCCUUUUCUGCUGAUCACAAUUGCUUGCAUCUGCCAUCUCAUUGAGGAAAUGCCCCUGCUCCUCUUAAUUAAAAUUAAUGUGAAAUAUGUUUCUACCAAAAUUAAUGUGAAGCACUAUUGAGACAACGAAUUUCAACUAUGUUAUGAGCCAAACCAUAUUAAGUAUGUGCAUCCUCGCUGGAAUGCUUUCUGUUCAUGAGCUGGUCUCCCAACACGUAUUGUCGAGAAAAGAAAAGAAAGGACCUUUUAAGUUCUUAAUAGGAGCAAGAGAGCUUCUAAGUACUAUCCAUACCUAUGCUUUAUGUAGUCAAUUAAUAAACUCUCUUUAAAUAUGAUGUUCCCAAGAGAUCAGAAGGUUCAUGGGGUGAUCUUGUAGCUGAGUUGAAAGUCAGAGGGUUUGUGCUAUGGGUGAUAAGGAAUGGUCAUAACCUUAUUUGUUAGAAUAUUGCCGAAGAUGAUUUAAGCUAAUUAUUUUAGGCACUUGAUCUGUUAUAUUGCCAUAAACUGAAUUUGUACUACGCGAACAUGUGGAUCUUUUAGCAGUUAGCCAUGUCAAAAACAGGAUAUAUGUCUAACAUCUAAUUUGAGAUGAAGUUGUCCUGCUCAAUUAAUUUAUAGUUUUCUGGAUGUUCUGGUGUUCAGCUUGGGAGCAAGUAGAAAUACCUGAUUUGAUGCUCAUGCUUCCAAAUUUUUCACAUUUUCGCGAGAGCUAGGCGUACUUCUCGAUGACCUUGCCGUCUCCAACCCAUCCGUGGGUAUUUCAACUCCCCUUUUGUUUUUUUUCUGCGCACAUUUGCUCUACUGUCAUUUUGCCUGGUAUGCUCUCAUUUUCUUAGAUUUAGAUUUGCUUGUUCUAUCUCCUCCCAUUUUCUAUUUGUUGUUCUUUUCUCUGUUUUUAAUUUGUUUUUUACAUACUAUUUUAUUUAUUCUUUUUGGCUACGACAUAAUGAAUGGAUUAUUGCUUUAUUUGGCCUUUAUUAUAUUGUUUCCCAUCUACUAUAUGGUUCACUUUGCUAGCUAUAAAAAAAAGCAUUAUGGGUUACUGCCUGGUGGACCUCUGAAUAUUUUUUCACCUCAGCUUGAUUGACAAGCUCACCGGCAGCUUGAUUGACAAGCUCACCGGCAGGAAAUGUAGUAUGAGAUGAUUUUUUUUAAUUUCUCUAGCUUUUCUUAUUGGUAUGUACAGAAAGGACAAAGUCGUAUACUUAAUAUCGAGUCUUAUUCAUCUGCAUUUAUGGAAUACCAUUGAAAAUCUUGAAUUACUUCUGCUUUGAUGGGUAAUCUAUCACUAAACAGAAUAUAGCUUCCAGCCUUCACACAUAGAGACUAAUUUAGUACUUCGGUUUUGGGCUGUCCUAUUUUCUGUGUGGUCGAACAGGAAAGCUAAAUGUACAGUUUAUUUGCUCGGCACCAUUUAUUGUGCCACAUAGAAGUACAUCUUUUUCUUAUUUUUUCUAAUGCAAUCAUCAAUACAGUACCUUAGUUAACCUUCCCAAUUUUUGUUCUCUUUUUGGUCAUACAUUAGGAUUAUUGUGGAUUUUCUGAAGGUGUUGGCGGGGGUUGCACGGCAUGUUCCGUCUGGUUUCAGGAGUGUGUGCUGCACCUGAAAAAAUUUCUCGGGUUGUCUCUCUACAUAUUUCCACGUUAGUUGUGAUAUUUUAUUUAUUGCUCUGCAAUCGACAGUUUGACCUCAUGCUAGGGCAGCCUCAGCCAGUUGCCUCUUCUAUCAAAGGUUGAGAUGCAUCACAUGAUGUUUUCCUUUUACAUUUAUGGGUAUUACAGAACCCUUUCUUUUUCCACAAGGGGUAGUAGCUGUGCCAUUCGAUUCGGAGGACAAAGAGUUGAUCACAAAGGGGUAGCAUUCAGGACAUAUACAUAAAAGAGUAUAGAACCAAAUUACAUGAUGUAAUUGACCACUAUUUCUAUUAACUUCUCCUGUAGCCAAUGUUCACAAGUUCAUGUAUUAAGUACAUCUUAUUGUGUCACUUGUGUUUACUCCUUUUUUAAUGCAAGUUUACUGCUACUCUCUACAAGUUCAUGUAUUAAGUACAUUUUAUUA